GUACUCGCUUUGGCAGUACAUAUACUAAAAUUAGAACGGUACAGAGAAGAUUAGCAUGGCCCCUGCGCAAGGAUCACACCCUUUUAACUUCAGCGAAGUUUGUCUCU